rnacentral:rRNA from 1 species
GAUGAACGCUGGCGGCGUGCCUAAUACAUGCAAGUCGAGCGAACAGACGAGGAGCUUGCUCCUCUGACGUUAGCGGCGGACGGGUGAGUAACACGUGGAUAACCUACCUAUAAGACUGGGAUAACUUCGGGAAACCGGAGCUAAUACCGGAUAAUAUAUUGAACCGCAUGGUUCAAUAGUGAAAGACGGUUUUGCUGUCACUUAUAGAUGGAUCCGCGCCGCAUUAGCUAGUUGGUAAGGUAACGGCUUACCAAGGCAACGAUGCGUAGCCGACCUGAGAGGGUGAUCGGCCACACUGGAACUGAGACACGGUCCAGACUCCUACGGGAGGCAGCAGUAGGGAAUCUUCCGCAAUGGGCCAAAGCCUGACGGAGCAACGCCGCGUGAGUGAUGAAGGUCUUCGGAUCGUAAAACUCUGUUAUUAGGGAAGAACAAAUGUGUAAGUAACUAUGCACGUCUUGACGGUACCUAAUCAGAAAGCCACGGCUAACUACGUG